rnacentral:piRNA from 1 species
UACAAUGAGUACCAAUUUUGCUUUGAAUACU